GUGAAAUGCAUAGAUAUUACUUAGAACACCAAUUGCGAAGGCAGGUUACCAAGAUAUAACUGACGCUGAGGGACGAAAGCGUGGGGAGCGAACAGGAUUAGAUACCCUGGUAGUCCACGCCGUAAACGGUGGAUGCUGGAUGUGGGGCCCGUUCCAGGGUUCCGUGUCGGAGCUAACGCGUUAAGCAUCCCGCCUGGGGAGUACGGUCGCAAGACUAAAACUCAAAGAAAUUGACGGGGGCCCGCACAAGCGG
rnacentral:rRNA from 1 species